rfam:Capsicum annuum cultivar Zunla-1 chromosome 7, whole genome shotgun sequence
GAUUGUUGAUGAUGCAGACAGUCCCAAAGAAGGACUUUGAACCUCUCCCAUGCCUGAUUAAGUUAUCAUCUGCCUUUUGUUUAAAGCACAUAAUCUCACUGCACAAUCU